CUGACUGCUAUCGGAUGAUACUAAGCCAUGCGAGUCUUUGUAGUAAUACAAGGCAUACGGCUCAGUAACACGUAGUCAACCUACCCUAUGGACAAGAAUAAUCUCGGGAAACUGGGCAUAAUUCUUGAUAGAUCAUAAUGCCUGGAAUGGUUUAUGGUUAAAAUGAUUCGUCGCCAUAGGAUGGGACUGCGGCCUAUCAGCUUGUUGGUGAGGUAAUGGCCCACCAAGGCGAUUACAGGUACGGGCUCUGAGAGGAGAAGCCCGGAGAUGGGUACUGAGACACGGACCCAGGCCCUAUGGGGCGCAGCAGGCGAGAAAACUUUGCAAUGUGCGAAAGCACGACAAGGUUAAUCCGAGUGAUUUCUGCUAAAGAAAUCUUUUGCCAGUCAUAAAACCACUGGUGAAUAAGGGGUGGGCAAGUUCUGGUGUCAGCCGCCGCGGUAAAACCAGCACCUCAAGUGGUCAGGAUGAUUAUUGGGCCUAAAGCAUCCGUAGCCGGCUUUGUAAGUUUUCGGUUAAAUCCAUGUGCUCAACGCAUGGGCUGCCGAAAAUACUGCAUGGCUAGGGAGUGGGAGAGGUAGACGGUACUCAGUAGGAAGGGGUAAAAUCCUUUGAUCUAUUGAUGACCACCUGUGGCGAAGGCGGUCUACCAGAACACGUUCGACGGUGAGGGAUGAAAGCUGGGGGAGCAAACCGGAUUAGAUACCCGGGUAGUCCCAGCUGUAAACGAUGCAGACUCGAUGAUGCAUUGGCAUAAUAGCCAGUGCAGUGUCGCAGGGAAGCCGUUAAGUCUGCCGCCUGGGAAGUACGUACGCAAGUAUGAAACUUAAAGGAAUUGGCGGGGGAGCACCACAAGGGGUGAAGCCUGCGGUUCAAU
rnacentral:rRNA from 1 species